rnacentral:rRNA from 1 species
CUGGUAUUGAUUGGUGCUUGCAUCAUGAUUUACAUUUGAGUGAGUGGCGAACUGGUGAGUAACACGUGGGAAACCUGCCCAGAAGCGGGGGAUAACACCUGGAAACAGAUGCUAAUACCGCAUAACAACUUGGACCGCAUGGUCCGAGCUUGAAAGAUGGCUUCGGCUAUCACUUUUGGAUGGUCCCGCGGCGUAUUAGCUAGAUGGUGGGGUAACGGCUCACCAUGGCAAUGAUACGUAGCCGACCUGAGAGGGUAAUCGGCCACAUUGGGACUGAGACACGGCCCAAACUCCUACGGGAGGCAGCAGUAGGGAAUCUUCCACAAUGGACGAAAGUCUGAUGGAGCAACGCCGCGUGAGUGAAGAAGGGUUUCGGCUCGUAAAACUCUGUUGUUAAAGAAGAACAUAUCUGAGAGUAACUGUUCAGGUAUUGACGGUAUUUAACCAGAAAGCCACGGCUAACUACGUGCCAGCAGCCGCGGUAAUACGUAGGUGGCAAGCGUUGUCCGGAUUUAUUGGGCGUAAAGCGAGCGCAGGCGGUUUUUUAAGUCUGAUGUGAAAGCCUUCGGCUCAACCGAAGAAGUGCAUCGGAAACUGGGAAACUUGAGUGCAGAAGAGGACAGUGGAACUCCAUGUGUAGCGGUGAAAUGCGUAGAUAUAUGGAAGAACACCAGUGGCGAAGGCGGCUGUCUGGUCUGUAACUGACGCUGAGGCUCGAAAGUAUGGGUAGCAAACAGGAUUAGAUACCCUGGUAGUCCAUACCGUAAACGAUGAAUGCUAAGUGUUGGGAGGGUUUCCGCCCUUCAGUGCUGCAGCUAACGCAUUAAGCAUUCCGCCUGGGGGAGUACGGCCGCAAGGCUGAAACUCAAAGGAAUUGACGGGGGCCCGCACAAGCGGUGGAGCAUGUGGUUUAAUUCGAAGCUACGCGAAGAACCUUACCAGGUCUUGACAUACUAUGCAAAUCUAAGAGAUUAGACGUUCCCUUCGGGGACAUGGAUACAGGUGGUGCAUGGUUGUCGUCAGCUCGUGUCGUGAGAUGUUGGGUUAAGUCCCGCAACGAGCGCAACCCUUAUUAUCAGUUGCCAGCAUUAAGUUGGGCACUCUGGUGAGACUGCCGGUGACAAACCGGAGGAAGGUGGGGAUGACGUCAAAUCAUCAUGCCCCUUAUGACCUGGGCUACACACGUGCUACAAUGGAUGGUACAACGAGUUGCGAACUCGCGAGAGUAAGCUAAUCUCUUAAAGCCAUUCUCAGUUCGGAUUGUAGGCUGCAACUCGCCUACAUGAAGUCGGAAUCGCUAGUAAUCGCGGAUCAGCAUGCCGCGGUGAAUACGUUCCCGGGCCUUGUACACACCGCCCGUCACACCAUGAGAGUUUGUAACACCCAA